GACGAACGCUGGCGGCGUGCUUAACACAUGCAAGUCGAACGGAAAGGCCCUGCUUUUGUGGGGUGCUCGAGUGGCGAACGGGUGAGUAACACGUGAGUAACCUGCCCUUGACUUUGGGAUAACUUCAGGAAACUGGGGCUAAUACCGGAUAGGAGCUCCUGCUGCAUGGUGGGGGUUGGAAAGUUUCGGCGGUUGGAGAUGGACUCGCGGCUUAUCAGCUUGUUGGUGGGGUAGUGGCUUACCAAGGCUUUGACGGGUAGCCGGCCUGCGAGGGUGACCGGCCACAUUGGGACUGAGAUACGGCCCAGACUCCUACGGGAGGCAGCAGUGGGGAAUAUUGCACAAUGGGCGGAAGCCUGAUGCAGCAACGCCGCGUGCGGGAUGACGGCCUUCGGGUUGUAAACCGCUUUCGCCUGUGACGAAGCGUGAGUGACGGUAAUGGGUAAAGAAGCACCGGCUAACUACGUG
rnacentral:rRNA from 1 species